GACCCGGUCCGCCUGCGCUCGAACUUCGGCAGCUCUGCGUCCACGGGCUCCGGCGCGGGCUCCGAGAGCUGGGGGCGGCUCAUAGGAUCCAAAUCUUAGGCUUUAAGGGGUUCUGUGCAGAUCCUCAGCAGCCUCCCCAGCUUCAGAUCCGGCCUCCUGAGCUCCAGUCUCUCUGAUACCUGCACCCAGGCUCAGGUGCAGGCCAGAGCUCACCUGACUCUGGUGAGCUGCUCUGCCCUACACCGGGAUUGCAGCACACAUCACAUGGCGCUGUCAUUGUCAGAUCCAUCUCUGUGUCCCCACACCCAGCCUGACACAUGGAGCCUGGGAUACAAUAGAUGCUCAAACCGUUGGAGACACGCACAGCAACUUGGGGUAGGGAAGAGAGUCUGGAUGGGAGACAUCAGACAUCACUAUGUCAUGGAGAACCCCCUGCAACUGCAUAAAGGGACUAACAAUUUGUACCUGGCCUUCGUGAGACCCCUGGAGGGAACUGCCACUGGCGCUGGUUUCGUAGCAAGAAUAUACCUCAAAUGACCAAACAGGAAUGAAAAACUUCAGAUGGUUUAGGUGCCAGUGGCUUCCGAAUAAAACAGCAUUCUUGAAGUGAACAGCUGAUGAGGACAUGAAAUAUUAUGCCAAAGCUGGCAUCACACUGUUCUUUUUCCUGGAUGAAAAUCUCUCUGAGAAGCAUUUGCUCUUAACUUUGGUGUCCUGGGGACUGCUGCCUUAUCCCAGGAAGCCACCCAGAGUCUUGGAUGUGUGGGAUCCUUAGGACUUCAUGGUAAACCUGCUCUAGUCCCUCGGGUUAGUAAAAUGAAGCCCAGGACAUCUGAGAGCCCCCAGCACUUCCAUAGAAAUGGACCAAAAUCCCUUCUCCCAGGGGGAGAAACCUGGAAUAAGCUCAAGAGGACAGACGGCUAAAUUUUCAAGAAUCGUGUGAGCUGCUGUUAAACAAGCCAUUAUUAAAACUUUAAUUGUGUAAACUUACAAUUAGGUCAGUUAUAUUAAAAGUAAAAGUGAUACAUACCC
rnacentral:lncRNA from 10 species